GGAGACGUAUCGAAGAGGCCAUAACGAGACUGACUCGAAAUCAGUUUGCCGGGAAACCGGCACGAGGGUUCGAAUCCCUCCGUCUCCG
rnacentral:tRNA from 1 species